rnacentral:rRNA from 1 species
AGUGAACGCUGGCGGUAGGCCUAACACAUGCAAGUCGAACGGCAGCACAGUAAGAGCUUGCUCUUACGGGUGGCGAGUGGCGGACGGGUGAGGAAUACAUCGGAAUCUACUUUUUCGUGGGGGAUAACGUAGGGAAACUUACGCUAAUACCGCAUACGACCUACGGGUGAAAGCAGGGGAUCUUCGGACCUUGCGCGAUUGAAUGAGCCGAUGUCGGAUUAGCUAGUUGGCGGGGUAAAGGCCCACCAAGGCGACGAUCCGUAGCUGGUCUGAGAGGAUGAUGAGGCAAAGUGGAAAAGAGAGACGGUGAAGACUCCAAGGGGAUGAAGCGGGGGGGGGCGUUGGAAAAUGGAGGACAGCCUGAAGGAGCGAUGCAGGGUGGGAGAAGAAGGGCUUCGGAUUGUAAAGCUGUUUUAGUUGGGAAGAAAGGAAAUGCAGGAAUAGAUGAAGGUAAGGACGCUAGGGAAUAAAUGGGGGCCGGAUAACUUGAUG